UCUUUGAUACAGAGAAACCACAAUUUCUCAAUUAGAUCCAAAUCACAACACCAAAUUGAAUCGUCGUUCAUAAAACGAGAAUCCAAAUCUCAUGUGGUAGAGCUUAGAAGUAGAAACAGCUAUAUCUAAAGAGUUUUUCAGAGAAAAUUGAAGAAGAAGAAGAAGAUUACACAAAUUGUUUUUUGGUUAUCUUUCUGCAAAAUGGUCUUCCAUCCCUAAAUAGCUUCACCUCUCGAUCUCUUUCUAGCCAAUCACUAGCUAAUUGCCAACUCACAAUUCACACCUCCACCAAUCAUGUUGUAACAAACUUCCACGUUACUCAUUUCCUAUAUCAAAUCCUCUCGUUCGAAGAAACCUUGACCUCAAGGUUUGGAAAAGAAUGGAUUUACUAUGAUAUCUUCACUUCAGUUUCAUUCAACCAAUUCUCUGCGUGGAUUUGAAUUCCCAGUUUUGUACUUAAAACGCCAUGCUUUAGGAAGUUUGCUCUGCUUCCAUAUGUGCCUUCUGAGAUUGCCCCUAUCAGCUUGGAAUCGGAUAUUAAUGUUCAAACCUCAGGUGAAGAUGUCACAGUGAGAAUAAACUGUCCGUUGGAGUCUCAUCCAGCUUCUAGAAUCUUCCAUGCGUUUGAAGAGACUAAAGUAGAAGUGAUGAACUCGAACCUUGAAGUUUCUCAGGACACAGUGUUGCAUACGUUUGUAGUCAAAUCUGAAGAAUUAACGAAAGAGAAGCUGAUAUCUGCGUUGUCUAGAGAGCCAUCAAAUUCAGUUCAGUCAAGAACAUCAUCUGGUAGAUAGCCUUUUGAGAGAUAGAAGAAGGUGGAAAGUAAGUUUGUAAUCAAGAACCGGUUUUGAAUGGUUCUUUUUUGUUUCUGCUAGGUUUCUUUUGUUUUUGCUUUUUUUUUUUUUGGUUAUAUACCUGUAAGAAUCCUCCAAACUAGGAUUUUAGAAGUUUAAUUGACAAAAGUAGACAUUAUCAGUUACUCGGUUUACAGUGGACAAAAUUGGGGGAAAAGGAUAAUGUUGUAAUGGCUCUUUCCUGCAGAGACAAGACUUGCAGACUUGAUACUAACAUCAAAGAAGACAGUGUUGUGGUUUGCAUAACGAUCAUUUGGGUCCAAUACCUUCAAACCUCUGAGGGAAUUCAACAUAGAAGAUUCUAUCACUACCACCUUCCCUCAGAGUCAUGGAGUUGUACAUUAUGUAGUGGUCAGAUGAAUGACAUGAUUGCUCUGGUCCUAACCAAAGCAAUUGAUGGCUCCCACAGAAAUGAUUGAAGUUGCUGCUAUAUUUAUAGGCGUUGGCUUCAUAUUCAGCAUCUGCAGCCGCAGCAAUAAAACGAACGCUGAGUUUCUAGAUGAAGCUACCGGCGAUAUGAAGCAUUCUCAUAAUCAGGCCGGUUCUAUCUCCCACAGAAAGACCAGCAUUGGUAGGCUGAUGUCAAUGUCUGUUAGAUCAUCAAACACUGCUGCUUCUGUUCAAUUUAAAGAAGCCAACAUCAUCAUCUCCUUUUUUUUGGUUCAGAACCAUCAUCUUCAUCUCUUCUUUCCUUCUCCACAAACAUAUGGGUGUUUGUUUGUAACAGAGAGGUAUAAAUGUAUAAUAAAGAGAUCGUCCCGGACCCA